GAUGAACGCUGGCGGCGUGCCUAAUACAUGCAAGUCGAGCGAACAGACGAGGAGCUUGCUCCUCUGACGUUAGCGGCGGACGGGUGAGUAACACGUGGAUAACCAACCUAUAAGACUGGGAUAACUUCGGGAAACCGGAGCUAAUACCGGAUAAUAUAUUGAACCGCAUGGUUCAAUAGUGAAAGACGGUUUUGCUGUCACUUAUAGAUGGAUCCGCGCCGCAUUAGCUAGUUGGUAAGGUAACGGCUUACCAAGGCAACGAUGCGUAGCCGACCUGAGAGGGUGAUCGGCCACACUGGAACUGAGACACGGUCCAGACUCCUACGGGAGGCAGCAGUAGGGAAUCUUCCGCAAUGGGCGAAAGCUUGACGGAGCAACGCCGCGUGAGUGAUGAAGGUCUUCGGAUCGUAAAACUCUGUUAUUAGGGAAGUACAAAUGUGUAAGUAACUAUGCACGUCUUGACGGUACCUAAUCAGAAAGCCACGGCUAACUACGUG
rnacentral:rRNA from 1 species